GGUAACAGAUGAAGAGCUUGCUCAGAUUGCUGACGACCGGCGCACGGGUGAGUAACACGUAUGCAACCUACCUUUUACAGAGGAAUAGCCCAGAGAAAUUUGGAUUAAUACCUCAUAAUAUUUUUAACUCGCAUGAGUUUUAAAUUAAAACUUCGGUGGUAAAAGAUGGGCAUGCGUUCUAUUAGUUUGUUGGUGAGGUAGCGGCUUACCAAGACUACGAUAGAUAGGGGUUCUGAGAGGAUAGUCCCCCACACUGGUACUGAGACACGGACCAGACUCCUACGGGAGGCAGCAGUGAGGAAUAUUGGUCAAUGGUCGAAAGACUGAACCAGCCAUGUCGCGUGAAGGAUGACGGCCCUAUGGGUUGUAAACUUCUUUUGUAUGGGAAGAAAAGCAGUUACGUGUAAUUGUCUGCCGGUACCAUACGAAUAAGGAUCGGCUAACUCCGUGCCAGCAGCCGCGGUAAUACGGAGGAUCCAAGCGUUAUCCGGAUUUAUUGGGUUUAAAGGGUGCGUAGGCGGCUCUAUAAGUCAGUAGUGAAAUCUCGAAGCUCAACUUCGAACGUGCUAUUGAAACUGUAGAGCUUGAGUACAGACGAGGCAGGCGGAAUGUGUUGUGUAGCGGUGAAAUGCUUAGAUAUAACACAGAACACCGAUAGCGAAGGCAGCUUGCCAGACUGUAACUGACGCUGAGGCACGAAAGCGUGGGGAGCGAACAGGAUUAGAUACCCUGGUAGUCCACGCCGUAAACGAUGAUUACUGGUUGUAGGCGAUACAUUGUCUGUGACUGAGCGAAAGUAUUAAGUAAU
rnacentral:rRNA from 1 species